rnacentral:rRNA from 1 species
AUGGCGGCCCGGUGGCUGUUGUUGCUUCUUCUUGGCCUCGUCGGUGGCGGAAGUGUUUUUAAUGUCCAUGGCCAAGUCGAUAACUUAGGUUUCAUAAGCAUCGACUGCGGCCUGCCGGAGAGUGCCGCCGGCUACAUCGACAACGCCACCAAGAUCUCGUACGCAUCGGACGCUGUCUUCACCGACGCCGGCACUAACCACAACCUGUCGGCCGAGUACAUGUCGGCACCCAUGGGCAAGAGCUGGUACACAGUGCGGAGCUUCACCUCUGCCGCCGGCGAGCGCAACUGCUACACGCUUGGCUCCCUCGUAGUAGGGCUCAAGUACCUCAUCCGCGCCAAGUUCAAGUACGGAAACUAUGACGGGCUCAACAGGCCGCCUAUCUUCGACCUCCACGUCGGCAUCAACUAUUGGCAGACCGUCAACAUAUCGGACGCCGACACGCCAGAGAUCUACGAGAUUAUCACCGUUGUCCCCGACGACUAUGUGCAGGUGUGCCUGGUGAACACCGGCGCAGGGACGCCCUUUAUAUCCAGCCUGGAUCUGAGGCCGCUCAAGAACAAGCUGUACCCGCAAGCAGACGGGUCACAGGGACUGGUUCUUGUCGCCAGGGCCAACUUUGGCGCAGGCGAUACUACACUCGUCAGGUACCCUGAUGAUCCGCACGACCGUAUAUGGAUGCCGUACAACAAGCCCAAGUGGUCGGUGAUCUCAACGACCAGAAAUGUGCAGAACGUCGACAAGGACUUGUUCGAGGCGCCGUCCGCCCUGAUGCAGACUGCCAUCACGCCCAUCAACUCCUCUAGCCCCAUCGACUUCACAUGGGAUGCCCAAUCCACCACCAACGAUCCAGUGCCUGGGUACGUCUGCAUUCUCUACAUUGCAGAGCUACAGCACCUUCCCAACAACGUCACCCGCCAGUUCUACGUCACUCUCAACGGCAAGCUCUGGUACGCGGAAACGCACGGUGCCUACACGCCGCAGUACCUCUACACCAACGCCAUCUACAACCCCAAACCUGACUAUGCCUCCCACCAAUACAACAUCUCACUAGACGCCACCGAUAAUUCGACUCUUCCACCGAUCAUCAAUGCGGCCGAAAUCUACUCUGUCAUCUCCACAACCCGCAUAGCCACGAGGGCUCAGGAAAUUCCUGCCAUAUCGACGAUCAGAGACAAGUACCAAGUGAAGAAGAACUGGAUGGGUGAUCCAUGCAUGCCCAAUAAUUUCGCUUGGAAAGGAUUGCGCUGUAGCUAUGCUGUUUCUAGCCCACCAAUCAUCAUAGGCCUGAAUUUAUCUUCGAGUGGUCUGAGUGGCAACAUCUCAUCUUCAUUUGCUAGUCUAAAAGGUUUACAAUACUUAGAUUUGUCAGGCAACAAUCUGACGGGCUCCAUUCCAGACGCUCUUUCCCAAUUGUCCUCACUCAAACUUCUAGAUUUGACAGGUAAUCAGCUCAGUGGAUCAAUUCCUUCUGGACUUCUUAGAAGAACCCAAGAUGAGUCCUUAACACUUAGAUAUGGUAAUAAUACAAAUCUCUGCAGUAACGGAAACUCCUGUCAGCCUCCCAAAAAGACGAGCAGCUCUAUGGUUGCUGUCUAUGUUGCAAUUCCUAUAUUUCUGGUACUUAUGGUUGUGCUUCUCGCCGUACUACUCCUUUGCAUGCGAAGGAGAAAGCAAGGAACAACAACCAAUAGUGUAAGGCCGCAAAACGAGGCAAUUAACAACAAUGGACACACCUCACUGCGACUCGAGAAUCGCAGAUUCACGUACAAUGAAUUGGAGGCCAUCACGAACGGCUUCCAGCGAGUGGUCGGCCGAGGAGGGUUUGGGAAAGUCUAUGAUGGUUUCUUGGAGGAUGGCACCCAAGUGGCUGUCAAAUUGCGGUCAGAAUCAUCCAACCAAGGUGUACAAGAAUUUUUGGCAGAGGCUCAGACCUUGGCUAAGAUUCAUCACAAGAAUCUUGUGUCCCUGUUUGGGUACUGCAAGGAGAGGGAGUACAUGGCUCUUGUAUAUGAGUACAUGUCUGAAGGAGCCCUAGACGAACAUCUUAGAGGGAGAGAAAACAGCAGAAGAACUUUAACCUGGAGACAAAGACUUCUUAUCGCCAUGGAAUCAGCACAAGGGCUUGAGUAUUUGCACAAGGGGUGCAAUCCGCCCCUCAUUCACAGGGACGUGAAGACAUCCAACAUUCUGCUGAAUGCAAAGUUGGAGGCCAAAAUCGCUGAUUUUGGCCUGCUCAAGGCUUUCAAUAACGACUGUGAUACCCACGUGUCCACGGCUAGGGUGAUUGGGACACCCGGUUACCUUGAUCCUGAGUACAACGCUACGUUUCAGUUGACCAACAAGAGUGACGUGUUCAGCUUCGGUGUAGUGCUACUUGAGAUAGUCACGGGGAAACCACCCCUCCUGAACAAUCCAGAGUCAAUGAGCAUCAUCCACUGGACACGUCAGCGCCUUGCCCGUGGCAAUAUUGAGGAUGUAGUGGACACACGCAUGCACGACGACCAUGAUGUCAACGGCGUAUGGAAAGUCGCUGACACUGCACUCAAGUGCACUGCCCAGGCGGCGGAGCAGCGACCCUCAAUGACCGAGGUGGUGGCGUUGUUGCAUGAGUGCCUUGAGCUUGAGGCUGCGCAUAACCACAUGAAUGCAGGGUUCUACACAGCUGGUAGUGGUGGUAACGCGGAUGGCUACAGUGGAUACGACACUGGCAUGUCGACUGAUGUGAGUCAAAGCAGCUCUGCAUUUGAGAUGGAAUAUUUGGGCAGAGUACCAACAAUGUCUACAGGUCCAGCGGUGAGGUGA